rnacentral:tRNA from 1 species
AAGGCUCUAGCUUAAUUAAAGCACUUGAGUUGCAUUCAUGAGAUGUAGGUUAAUAUCCUGCGGGCCUUA